rnacentral:tRNA from 1 species
GAAGGUAUAGCUGAGUGGUAGAGUGCGCGCUUAGCAUGCGUGAGGUCCUGAGUUCAAUCCCCAGUACCUCCA